UGGGGAAUAUUGCACAAUGGGCGCAAGCCUGAUGCAGCCAUGCCGCGUGUUUGAAGAAGGCCUACGGGUUGUAAAGCACUUUCAGCGGGGAGGAAGGCGUUAAGGUUAAUAACCUUGGCGAUUGACGUUACCCGCAGAAGAAGCACCGGCUAACUCCGUGCCAGCAGCUGCGGUAAUACGGAGGGUGCAAGCGUUAAUCGGAAUUACUGGGCGUAAAGCGCACGCAGGCGGUCUGUCAAGUCGGAUGUGAAAUCCCCGGGCUCAACCUGGGAACUGCAUUCGAAACAGGCAGGCUAGAGUCUUGUAGAGGGAGGUAGAAUUCCAGGUGUAGCGGUGAAAUGCAUAAAGACAAAGAGGAAUACCGGUGGCGAAGGCGGCCCCCUGGACAAAGACUGACGCUCAGGUGCGAAAGCGUGGGGAGCAAACAGG
rnacentral:rRNA from 1 species